CUCCGGUUGAUCCUGCCGGACCUGACUGCUAUCGGAUUGGUACUAAGCCAUGCGAGUCGUUGUAGCAAUACAAGGCGGACGGCUCAGUAACACGUAGUCAACCUAACCUAUGGACGUGGAUAACCUCGGGAAACUGAGAAUAAACCGCGAUAGAUCAUUAUGCCUGGAAUGGCUUAUGGUUCAAACAAUUUAUUGCCGUAGGAUGGGACUGCGGCCUAUCAGCUUGUUGGUGAGGUAAUGGCCCACCAAGGCUAUAACAGGUACGGGCUCUGAGAGGAGAAGCCCGGAGAUGGGUACUGAGACACGGACCCAGGCCCUAUGGGGCGCAGCAGGCGAGAAACCUUAGCAAUGUGCGAAAGCACGACUAGGUUAAUCCGAGUGAUUUCUGUUGAAGAAAUCUUUUGUCAGUCAUAAAACCACAGACGAAUAAGGGGUGGGCAAGUCUGGUGUCAGCCGCCGCGGUAAUACCAGCACCUCGAGUGGUCAGGAGGUUUAUUGGGCCUAAAGCAUCCGUAGCCGGCUACGCAAGUCUCCGGUUAAAUCCAGCUGCUCAACAGAUGGGCUGCCGGAGAUACUACAUAGCUAGGGAGCGGGAGAGGCAGACGGUAUUCUGUGGGUAGGGGUAAAAUCCUUUGAUCCAUAGAGGACCACCAGUGGCGAAGGCGGUCUGCCAGAACGCGUUCGACGGUGAGGGAUGAAAGCUGGGGGAGCAAACCGGAUUAGAUACCCGGGUAGUCCCAGCUGUAAACGAUGCAAACUCGGUGAUGCAUUGGCUUAUGGCCAAUGCAGUGCCGCAGGGAAGCCGUUAAGUUUGCCGCCUGGGAAGUACGGACGCAAGUCUGAAACUUAAAGGAAUUGGCGGGGGAGCA
rnacentral:rRNA from 1 species